rnacentral:rRNA from 1 species
UACAGAGGCCACAAGCGUUAGUCGGAAUCACUGGGCUUAAAGGGUGCGUAGGCGGAUCGGUAAGUGUUCUGUGAAAGCCCUCGGCUCAACCGAGGAACAGCAGGGCAUACUGCCAAUCUAGAGGCAAGUAGGGGCGGGCAGAACAGUAGGUGGAGCGGUGAAAUGCGUAGAUAUCUACUGGAAUGCCGAUGGUGAAGACGGCCCGCUGGGCUUGUCCUGACGCUGAGGCACGAAAGCGUGGGGAGCAAACAGG